rnacentral:rRNA from 1 species
UACGUAGGCAGCGAGCGUUGUUCGGAGUUACUGGGCGUAAAGAGUGCGUAGGCGGUUUUCCAAGUUUGGUGUGAAAUCUCCCGGCUUAACUGGGAGGGUGCGCCGAAAACUGGAAGGCUUGAGUAUGGGAGAGGUAAGCGGAAUUCCUGGUGUAGCGGUGAAAUGCGUAGAUAUCAGGAGGAACACCUGCGGUGUAGACGGCUUACUGGACCAUAACUGACGCUGAGGCACGAAAGCGUGGGUAGCAAACAGG